CUCUCUCUCUCACAGUUUUCAUGUUCUUAUUUGAUUUAUGUUUGUAUUUUCUUCUUGUUUUAAUAUUUUGCAGUUUUGUUCGCAGCACUCAUCUUUACAGCAAUUUUUUUUUUUUUAACAUUUAGAUCUGUACAAUAGAUCUGUUUAUGUUUUUACGGUUUUUCAAUUUUCUUGUUUUUCCUCUUAGAUCUGAACAUAUUUCUUUUUGUUUUAUUUUCUUUGUCCUUUUUUGUUCUUGUUUUUGUCUUUUGUCUUAUGUUGUUCUUAUUGUUUUCGAUUUUGUUGUUUGAAGUUGGAAAUUUUCAGAUCCGCUGGGUAUGGCGGGGCGUAGCAGGCCACGACCACCGCAGAAGGUGUGAUAUUUUUCACCUAUUUGGUUUUUCGGUUUUUUUUUUUUAAUUUUUUUAUCUGAACGAAAUUUUUGGUUUGUUAUUUGGAUCUGUGGGUUUCUCUGUUGAAUCUAUUGUUUGUUGGGUGUCCCUCACAUCGCCGCUCACAUCCGCAGCAAAUGGCCACUCGUGGAAGCGCACGGCCACGCCAGAAGCACACAACAACAAACCAGAAGAUGAAAUUUCAGAAGAUUGAAUUUGUAUAUGAUGCGUUAAAUUUUUUUGUUCGGUGUACUCUCUGUAAAUAAAGAUGUAAAUAUGCAAACAUAGUUUUUAUCUUUGGAUUUUUUUUUUUGCUGUAAUACAUAUACAUAUCAUCUAAUUACAUAAUGUAACAAAUUCAUU